CCAAAUUUCCAAAGAUUUGAAUAAAAACUACAAACUUUAAUGUUAAAUAUGUAGGAAUGUAGUCCAUUUUUUAGUACCCUACCAAAGCCGAUGUGUGUACAGCUAAUUCUGGCAGACUUGACUCUGGUUAGGAACAUUAGUACAAUCCGUGUAAGAUAUGUAACUAAAAAUUAGUUUCAUAUCUAAGGGGUUUUUGUGACAAUCAGCACUUGCAUGCAACUAUCCACAUAUAAAUUCAGCAGAACAACUGUAAUUAUAGAUAAUAUAUUUUUUUAUAGACAAGCCGUUUACACCUCACUGGGCUAAAUAUUACUGGUAUCCAUCAGGCUGAAAAAAAGGAGUACUGAUAGAAAACAUAAACAAAUCAUAUUUAAAAUAUUUGACACUCAUUAUGGUACAAUUUGAUGACAGAAACCACAAAUUUUAAAAAUAAAGAACCUGUUUAACACUACUUCAUUCAUUAUUGGCCUGUGUAUUUCCAUAGAUCAGUUACAAUGGACUAACAUUGCAAGACUUAACAAUCCUGGAAAUGUUUAAAAGGUGCAAAGUUCAUUUCACCCAAAGUGGACAAGACAAGUAUCUCCCUCAAUGUAAACAAUUUUGCCACUAAUACUAAAGCUGUAGUUUCAAGAGAUGUCAUGUCAUGUUUUGUGUAUGAUAUUUAAGAACACUCAAGAAGACAUUGACUUGAUAUAUGAAUUAGCAUAUGGACAUAGGAAGACAUACUAUGAAGAACUUAAAUAAUGCACUGUGAGAGGUGGUGGUAUUAGAUCUCAAUCAAGUUACUUUCUAAAAUGAUAUAGAGGAGAGAGCUACUAUGAUGACUAAAUGGAUGUGGCCCAGACUAAAUGUCCUAGAAACUGCAAAGGUACAUGCAUAGUCCCGACUGCAGAUUAUAAACAACUAAUUUGUGGAAAUAAAAUAUAUAUGAAACAUGUGA